GAGAGCGCCUAACUGCAUUCUCCUAUCGCAAAGCCCUCGGGUGCAAAAUUGAAUUCCUGGAAUUAGGAUAGCUGUGCUGGGAGGGCAUGUCCUCCUGCUGUAGAUCUGAACAGCACCAUGCAGCUUCGAGAGCACGUUAGCCUGGAUGCCUUCAUAAAGCCUGGUGUUAUGCCAGGCUGGAAAUCUUCUCAAGGGAAAGAGGGACAGUAUGGAAAAAAAAAAAAAAGAGAGAAACAAACAAACAAAAAAGUAUGAAAAGGUGAGCUCUUCUCAUGAUGACUCUAGUAUCCAGAUGUUAAGUAGAAGUGACAGCCAGAUCAGGUCCUGUGCACCUGUGCAUGACAGAUAUUUCUUCAGGAGGAGGGAACCAGAGGAAAGAAGCUGCUGCCCAGCAUUCACCAUGAGUGCAGAAGAGGGGUCAUAUAUGAAUGUUUUAUCUCCUUUCAGGACAGUGAAUCAUCAUAUCAGAAAUGUCUGAUGUGUCACUUGUGUCAGCCUGUUGUCCAGAAUAAGCUUGUAUUGCUCAUGGUUGUUACUUCUGUUGAGAUUUAAUACAGGAUCUACUAAU
rnacentral:lncRNA from 7 species